GACAGAGGGUGCAAACGUUUGUUCGGAAUUACUGGGCGUAAAGCGCGUGUAGGCAGCUCGGAAAGUCGGGUGUGAAAGCCCUGGGCUUAACCUAGGAAGUGCACUCGAAACUUCCGAGCUUGAGUUCUGGAGAGGAAGGCGGAAUUCUCGGUGUAGAGGUGAAAUUCGUAGAUAUCGAGAGGAACACCGGUGGCGAAGGCGGCCUUCUGGACAGUGACUGACGCUGAGACGGCGAAAGCGUGGGGAGCAAACAGGG
rnacentral:rRNA from 1 species